CUCCUUAAAAAUAUGCCCCCAGUCUCAAAAUCUCCCACCCUACGCAAAGACACCCGCCAUUCACCUCAUCUAUACCCCACAUUAUUUUAUAAACCCCUAUAAGGUCACCUCACAAACUCCUUCACUCCAGAGAAAAAUGUCCCAGCCUAUCCAGUCUCUCCGUAUAACUUCAACUCUCCAUUUCUGGCAACAUCUUGGUCAAUCUCUUCUGAACUCUCUGCAGCUUAAGAAUAUCCUUCCUAUAACAGGGAAACCAGAACUGGAUACAGUAGCCCAGAAGAGGACUCACCAACCUGUACGACCUGUACCUGAGUCCUGUACAAUCUCAACGUCCGAACUCUUAAUUCAAAGCAACUGACCACCACAUUAACCAAGUGUAAAAAUUCAAUAUGUGAUCUAUCAAACCAGAUUUUAUUUUGGAUCUGACUUGCCCAGUAUCACCAUCAGCUGAAAUCAUAUCUGUGAGUAAAUUAAAGCAGAAUCUGAGCCUAUCCUCAUAUGUUGAUCAUACACAAAUGUUUUUUGAUUUUUCUCUUUCAGCACUCAGAAAAUCCAACUGCUGCAUAGACUGGGGAUCAAGCUGAGCCACUACGCUCAAUACAAACAGACAAAUUUCUGACCUAGGCAUAUCAACCAAGUAAUGGCUUUAUAAAUGGUGUCUUGGAAGGCAACUUCCCAUUGCUGCCCUGAUCAAUCGACAGAUGACAUCUGAAACAAUGGCGUUCCACUGCUGCAAUUUUUACAUUCACCAACUGUGACUCCUGAGAGACUAUCCUGAAGCACCACUGAUUGAAUUAUCUCCCUAUAGAAACCUAGUCACUGGUGACAGCUUUCUUGUAUUGCUUCUGGAAACAUUUAAACUAAUGGAAUUCACACCCCAAUGGUCUGUCAUUAUACCUUGACACCCAGACACCAGUUUGUUCAUAAUGUAAGCACAUCCACGUCACUUAGCAUGAUCUCACGCACAUUUUACCUGCUACUCUGGAUCCUCAUCCAUAUUUUCUAUUCCCCUUAUUUUCUUUACCUUUCCUAACUUUUUACCUCAUUUUGCUUCUCCACAUUCAUGUAUUCUUUCUUCAUAAACAAUUAUUCUUCAGCAUUCAUAGCUUUCAUAAUUAAAACUGCAUAUUUUCUGUAUAACAAUGGCUGCCCCAGCCCUUACUGCAGCUGACCUGCUGCUAAAACCCUUCUCUGUGCCUUUUUUACUUAUAGACUUAACUGUUGCAAUGUGACUGAGCUCCCAUGUUCUAUCUUUGCCAGGCUUGAGGUCAUUAUCUCAUGCCAACUUCUGCACACUAAUCACACUUAUGCUAGCUGAUCUAUAUUGAUUGUUUGUUAAGAAACGGCCUAAUUUUAAAAUUGUUAUCCUUGUUUUUAAAUCCCUCCAAGUCUCUCCUCUCCUCACUUUUUAAAAGGUUGUACAUUUAUAUUGCACCUUUCUGAAUCAUUGGAUGUCUCAAAGCAUUUAUUGCCAAUACAAUACUUUUGAAGUGUAAUCACUUUUAAAUGUAAGAAACAGUCCUCCAGUCUUACACCUCCCUGUAGUCUUUAUUCUCUUACAGUUUGGUCUGUUGAACAUUUUUGCCAUGUUAAUUGUUCAACAAGGUUUUGGAGUAGAUUUGUUGCUCAGGUUGUGGGUUUGAGGUUGGUUGGCUCGCCGAGCUGGUUUCUUGUUUUGCAGAUGUUUCAUUACCAUGCUGGGUAACAUCCUCAGCACAGCCUUGAUGAAGCGUCAGUGUGUAUUCCCGCCUGGUUUUUAAACUCUGGAGUCCGUUGAGCUGAACUGCCUCACUUCAGGUUUUCCUUCGUACUGGAGCGUAUAUGGUAUCGCGUUCAAUGUAUUCGUGAAUAGCAUGCUUCGUGAAGUGCCAGGCUUUUAGGAAUUCUCAUGCCUGUUUCUGCCCAGCUUGUCCCAGGGUUUUGGCAUUGUCCCAGUUGAAUUGGUGGUUCUCCUUGUCCAUGUGGAUUGAGAUGAGUGAGUGAGUAUUGGUCAUGCCAUUUUGUAGCCAGUUAGUGUUCAUAUACCCUUGUUGUUAGUUUCCUUCAUGUUUGUCCCAUGUAGUGUUUCUUUCAGUCUCUGCAAGGGAUCUUGUAGAUGAUAUUGGUUCUGUCCAUCGCAGGGGGUGGGUCUUUAGUUCGGGUGAGCAGUUGUUGCAGCGUUGACGUGGGCUUGUGUGCCACUCUGAUGCCCAGCGGUCGUAAGUCUUGUGGUGAGUUCUGAUUUGUUCCUGAUGUAGGGUAGUGUGAUGAGUGUUUUGGGGCAUGUAGUAUCUUCCUGACGUUGUUCGUGUAGGCAUCUUCUGACACUGUU